rnacentral:misc_RNA from 1 species
GAUGAAGAACGCAGCGAAAUGCGAUAAGUAAUGUGAAUUGCAGAAUUCAGUGAAUCAUCGAAUCUUUGAACGCACCUUGCACCCUUUGGCAUUCCGAAGGGUAUGCUCGUUUGAGUGUCAUUGUACUCUCACUCUCCCGAUGCUUUUGGAUCGGGAGUGGUGGACUUGGGUGUUGCUGCUUUGCUGUGGCUCGCCUCAAAUGGAGUAGUGCAACUCUUGGUUGGACAUAGUACGGCGUGAUAAGUGUCUUCGCCGGCGCCUCCUUAUAGAGGGUGGCCGAUCGGGAGCUCUGUGCUUCAAACCGUCUUCGGACAACAUCUGACAACUUGACCUCAAAUCGAGUAGGACUACCCGCUGAACUUAAGCAUAUCAAUAAGCGGAGGA